GACGAACGCUGGCGGCGUGCCUAAUACAUGCAAGUCGAGCGCAGGAAACUGACGGAACUCUUCGGAGGGAAGGCAGUGGAAUGAGCGGCGGACGGGUGAGUAACACGUAAGGAACCUGCCUCAAGGAUUGGGAUAACUCCGAGAAAUCGGAGCUAAUACCGGAUAGUUCAACGGACCGCAUGGUCCGCUGAUGAAAGGCGCUCCGGCGUCACCUUGAGAUGGCCUUGCGGUGCAUUAGCUAGUUGGUGGGGUAACGGCCCACCAAGGCGACGAUGCAUAGCCGACCUGAGAGGGUGAUCGGCCACACUGGGACUGAGACACGGCCCAGACUCCUACGGGAGGCAGCAGUAGGGAAUCUUCCACAAUGGACGAAAGUCUGAUGGAGCAACGCCGCGUGAGUGAUGAAGGUUUUCGGAUCGUAAAACUCUGUUGUAAGGGAAGAACACGUACGAGAGGAAAUGCUCGUACCUUGACGGUACCUUACGAGAAAGCCACGGCUAACUACGUGCCAGCAGCCGCCGUAA
rnacentral:rRNA from 1 species